rnacentral:rRNA from 1 species
UACGUAGGGUGCAAGCGUUAAUCGGAAUUACUGGGCGUAAAGCGUGCGCAGGCGGCUUUGCAAGACAGAUGUGAAAGCCCCGGGCUCAACCUGGGAACUGCAUUUGAGACUGCUCUGCUCGGGUGCGGAAGAGGGAAGCGGAAUUUCCGGUGUAGCGGUGAAAUGCGUAGAUAUCGGAAGGAACACCAGUGGCGAAAAGCGGCUUCCUGGUCCGACACCGA